rnacentral:rRNA from 1 species
AGGAUAAACGCUGGCGGCGUGCCUAACACAUGCAAGUCGAACGCCCUACGCAAGUAGGGAGUGGCGGACGGGUGAGGAACACGUGGGUAAUCUGCCCUUCGGUGAGGAAUACCGGCGAGAAAUCGCCGACAAUACCGCAUGCGUUUCACGGAAGUGAAAGAAAGUCGUAAGACGCCGAGGGAUGAGCCUGCGCCCGAUUAGUUUGUUGGUGGGGUAAAAGCCUACCAAGACUACAAUCGGUAGCUGGUCUGAGAGGACGAUCAGCCACACUGGGAUUGAGAACGGCCCAGACUCCUACGGGGGGCAGCAGUGAGGAAUUUCGUCAAUGGGGGCGACCCUGAACGAGCAACGCCGCGUGCAGGAAGAAGGUUUUCGGAUCGUAAACUGCUUUUCUGUGGAAGAGAACGGACGGUACCACAGGAAGAAGCCCCGGCUAACUACGCGCCAGCAGCCGC